UACGGGGGGGGCAAGCGUUGUUCGGAAUUACUGGGCGUAAAGGGCGCGUAGGCGGUUCGCUAAGUUGGAUGUGAAAACUCUGGGCUCAACCCAGAGCCUGCAUUCGAAACUGACGAGCUCGAGUUCUGGAGGGGAAAGCGGAAUUCCUGGUGUAGCGGUGAAAUGCGUAGAUAUCUGGAGGAACACCGGUGGCGAAGGCGGCAUCCUGGACCGACACUGACACUGAGGAGCGAAAGCCAGGGGAGCAAACGGG
rnacentral:rRNA from 1 species